rnacentral:lncRNA from 1 species
GCAACAAUCAUCUUCCUCCUCCAACCUCCAUAACCACUGCCUGAAAAGGGAGUGGACACAAGAGACAUACCAGGAACGUCGGAGGAGUAAAUUAGGAGGGGACUAGUAGAGUCCGCAGGGGAGGUAUUAGUAUUCGUAUUAUCAGCCAUGAAUAAUGAACAAGGUUAACAACACAGAAAUAGUCUCAAUGAACAGAUCACAAUCAAACCAGAACUCACAUGCAACAUAUACAACACUUAGAACAGAGAAAGUGCUACCCUUCUUCUUCGCAACCGGAGAAGAAUGGCCUUCAACCACCGGAUGAAACUAAGUCCGGUCAGCGGAAAUUGCAGAUAAACGGAAACUCACCAAAGUAAGGUCACAAACGUCGGAGACUUACCCAAAACGUCUAUCGACUGAAAGCAAAAUCAUCGGAUAGCAUCAAAACCCCGGGUCCGAAGGUCGAAAAAC